AGAACAUGUUUGUGGUGGCAUAACUAAACAGAUGUGAUAGGCAUACAGCACAAGAGGACUAAUGAAUAUUUUAGGAGUUACAGAAUUUUAUUCAGAAUUUUGUAAGAGCUUCUAGUGAAAAGAAGCCAGUAUUGUGUAAGUCUUUGUAAAUCUUCGCAUAGUAUCAACCAAACACAGGAAAAAUUAUUUACUGAAUGUUUUGAUGACAGUGAAGACUGAGCAUUUCUCCCAUCAUGCAGUUCAAGUAGAACUUCUCUAAAACUUUUGAGUAAACACAUCUUUUUACUUUCACUCCUUCACAUGAUCUCCUAACACUAUGGAGUCUCGAUCUGUCACCAGGCUGGUGAUCUCUGCUCACUGCAACUUUCGCCUCCAGGGUUCAAGCGAUUCUCCUGCCUUAGCCUCCUGGACCCAGAUUCAACUUCUUCUAGUUUCUUUUAUCGGAGAAUGGCAUUAGAAACCAAGAUCUGAGCUACACUAGGUAAAAGCCACUGUCAUUUUAAAAUUAUUUCUCCUCCCUCUCUCCUACUUAGAUGUAUUUGCUCUUAGA